rnacentral:rRNA from 1 species
GGUUAAGCGACUAAGCGUACACGGUGGAUGCCCUGGCAGUCAGAGGCGAUGAAGGACGUGCUAAUCUGCGAAAAGCGACGGCGAGGUGAUAUGAACCUUUGACCCGUCGAUGUCCGAAUGGGGAAACCCAGUGCAAUCCGUUGCACUAUCGUUAACUGAAUACAUAGGUUAACGAGGCGAACCGGGGGAACUGAAACAUCUAAGUACCCCGAGGAAAAGAAAUCAACCGAGAUUCCCCCAGUAGCGGCGAGCGAACGGGGAGCAGCCCGGAGUCUGAAUCAGCUUGUGUGUUAGUGGAACGGUCUGGAAAGUCCGACGGUACAGGGUGAUAGUCCCGUACACGAAAACACACUUGUUGUGAACUCGAAGAGUAGGGCGGGACACGUGGUAUCCUGUCUGAAUAUGGGGGGACCAUCCUCCAAGGCUAAAUACUCCUGACUGACCGAUAGUGAACCAGUACCGUGAGGGAAAGGCGAAAAGAACCCCGGCGAGGGGAGUGAAAAAGAACCUGAAACCGUGUACGUACAAGCAGUGGGAGCCUCUUUAUGGGGUGACUGCGUACCUUUUGUAUAAUGGGUCAGCGACUUAUAUUCUGUAGCAAGGUUAACCGUAUAGGGGAGCCGAAGGGAAACCGAGUCUUAACUGGGCGUUAAGUUGCAGGGUAUAGACCCGAAACCCGGUGAUCUAGCCAUGGGCAGGUUGAAGGUUGGGUAACACUAACUGGAGGACCGAACCGACUAAUGUUGAAAAAUUAGCGGAUGACCUGUGGCUGGGGGUGAAAGGCCAAUCAAACCGGGAGAUAGCUGGUUCUCCCCGAAAGCUAUUUAGGUAGCGCCUCGUGAACUCAUCUUCGGGGGUAGAGCACUGUUUCGGCUAGGGGGCCAUCCCGGCUUACCAACCCGAUGCAAACUACGAAUACCGAAGAAUGUUAUCACGGGAGACACACGGCGGGUGCUAACGUCCGUCGUGAAGAGGGAAACAACCCAGACCGCCAGCUAAGGUCCCAAAGUCAUGGUUAAGUGGGAAACGAUGUGGGAAGGCACAGACAGCCAGGAUGUUGGCUUAGAAGCAGCCAUCAUUUAAAGAAAGCGUAAUAGCUCACUGGUCGAGUCGGCCUGCGCGGAAGAUGUAACGGGGCUAAACCAUGCACCGAAGCUGCGGCAGCGACACUAUGUGUUGUUGGGUAGGGGAGCGUUCUGUAAGCCGUUGAAGGUGGCCUGUGAGGGUUGCUGGAGGUAUCAGAAGUGCGAAUGCUGACAUAAGUAACGAUAAAGCGGGUGAAAAGCCCGCUCGCCGGAAGACCAAGGGUUCCUGUCCAACGUUAAUCGGGGCAGGGUGAGUCGACCCCUAAGGCGAGGCCGAAAGGCGUAGUCGAUGGGAAACAGGUUAAUAUUCCUGUACUUGGUGUUACUGCGAAGGGGGGACGGAGAAGGCUAUGUCAGCCGGGCGACGGUUGUCCCGGUUUAAGCAUGUAGGCGGAGGUUCCAGGUAAAUCCGGUACCUUUUAACGCUGAGGUGUGAUGACGAGGCACUACGGUGCUGAAGUGAUAAAUGCCCUGCUUCCAGGAAAAGCCUCUAAGCAUCAGGUAACACGAAAUCGUACCCCAAACCGACACAGGUGGUCAGGUAGAGAAUACCAAGGCGCUUGAGAGAACUCGGGUGAAGGAACUAGGCAAAAUGGUGCCGUAACUUCGGGAGAAGGCACGCUGAUAUGUAGGUGAAGUCCCUGCGGACGGAGCUGAAAUCAGUCGAAGAUACCAGCUGGCUGCAACUGUUUAUUAAAAACACAGCACUGUGCAAACACGAAAGUGGACGUAUACGGUGUGACGCCUGCCCGGUGCCGGAAGGUUAAUUGAUGGGGUUAGCGGCAACGCGAAGCUCUUGAUCGAAGCCCCGGUAAACGGCGGCCGUAACUAUAACGGUCCUAAGGUAGCGAAAUUCCUUGUCGGGUAAGUUCCGACCUGCACGAAUGGCGUAAUGAUGGCCAGGCUGUCUCCACCCGAGACUCAGUGAAAUUGAACUCGCUGUGAAGAUGCAGUGUACCCGCGGCAAGACGGAAAGACCCCGUGAACCUUUACUAUAGCUUGACACUGAACACUGGUCCUUGAUGUGUAGGAUAGGUGGGAGGCUUUGAAGCGUGGACGCCAGUCUGCGUGGAGCCAACCUUGAAAUACCACCCUUUAAUGGCUGGUGUUCUAACGUAGACCCGUAAUCCGGGUUGCGGACAGUGUCUGGUGGGUAGUUUGACUGGGGCGGUCUCCUCCCAAAGAGUAACGGAGGAGCACGAAGGUUGGCUAAUCCUGGUCGGACAUCAGGAGGUUAGUGCAAUGGCAUAAGCCAGCUUGACUGCGAGCGUGACGGCGCGAGCAGGUGCGAAAGCAGGUCAUAGUGAUCCGGUGGUUCUGAAUGGAAGGGCCAUCGCUCAACGGAUAAAAGGUACUCCGGGGAUAACAGGCUGAUACCGCCCAAGAGUUCAUAUCGACGGCGGUGUUUGGCACCUCGAUGUCGGCUCAUCACAUCCUGGGGCUGAAGUAGGUCCCAAGGGUAUGGCUGUUCGCCAUUUAAAGUGGUACGCGAGCUGGGUUUAGAACGUCGUGAGACAGUUCGGUCCCUAUCUGCCGUGGGCGCUGGAGAAUUGAGGGGGGCUGCUCCUAGUACGAGAGGACCGGAGUGGACGCAUCACUGGUGUUCGGGUUGUCAUGCCAAUGGCACUGCCCGGUAGCUAAAUGCGGAAGAGAUAAGUGCUGAAAGCAUCUAAGCACGAAACUUGCCCCGAGAUGAGUUCUCCCUGAGACUUUAAGUCUCCUGAAGGAACGUUGAAGACGACGACGUUGAUAGGUCGGGUGUGUAAGCGCAGCGAUGCGUUGAGCUAACCGAUACUAAUGAACCGUGAGGCUUAACCUU